rnacentral:rRNA from 1 species
UACGUAGGUGGCAAGCGUUGUCCGGAUUUACUGGGCGUAAAGAGCGCGCUAGGCGGUCGAAUAAGUCGAAUGUGAAAGCCCCCGGCUUAACUGGGGAGGGUCAUUCGAUACUGCUCGACUUGAAGGCGGAGAGGGUAGUGGAAUUCCCGGUGUAGUGGUGAAAUGCGUAGAUAUCGGGAGGAACACCAGUGGCGAAGGCGACUACCUGGCCUGUUCUUGACGGCUGAGGCGCGAAAGCUGGGGGAGCAAACGGG